UCCUACAGAACCAACAUGCACACUGUUUGGACCAAAUACAAGGUUUGUUCUCACGGGUCUAUCCCCUGCUACAGAAUACCUUUUCAAAGUUGUUUCCAUCAAUGAUGUAAGAAGAGAAAUGGGCAUGUUCGAAGUUCAAUGCUGUACUCUGGAUGAAGUCCCAAACUGCUUGGUUGUAGAAAGAAGUCAAAGCCCAGCAACCAAUUGUAGCAGUCUUUCUAAUCCAUCUUCUGUUGAAGAUGAAACUAAUCACAAUGCUCCAUGUGGUGACCAAAUUGUUAACCGUGCAGACAAUUAUCUUAGUUAUUGUAAGGACAGUGAUAAAAUUGUUUCUGCCAAUGUGCCCAAUGGUAUCAUGACUUGUGUCGGCGCAAGUGGAGGAACCACAACGGAUGCAGUUCCCUUUUUGGAUCAGGAGCAUGCCAUGCAGGUAGUUAGCUUGAUGCCAAGUUCUGAUGUGCAAAAGCUUCAGAACAAUCAUUUGCCAGAUGACCAAAUUGUUGAUGAGAUAAGCACAGAUAAUGGGUCAGAUACCCCUGUUCAAACUGGUUUGGAAUGCGUGCCAUUUGUGGGCAACUCAGAAGCUAGUUUGCCUAUCACUCCCUGCAAGUUGGAAAUAAUUAAGAAUGUGCAAGGAAGACAUGCAAGAUCAAAAUCCGGCAACAAGGAUCCGUUAAAUGGGAUUGGGAAUGGAGAGGAUCCCCUAGAUGCCAGCACAUCAAAGAAGAGAAGUGGGGAAAGGCGAGAUGAAGAAUGUACGGCCAAUGGUCAUUCAGACAGGGAUUUUGAAUAUUACGUGAAGGUUAUCAGACGUUUAGAAUGUGAGGGACAUAUUGAGAAGAAUUUCAGACAGAAAUUCUUGACCUGGUAUAGCUUAAGAGCAACCCCACAAGAGAUAAGGGUCGUGAAGGCAUUUGUUGAUACAUUCAUUCAAGAUCCUGCAUCUCUUGCAGAACAGCUUGUGGAUACCUUUUCAGAAUGUAUUUCGAGCAAGAGAUC
rnacentral:misc_RNA from 1 species